GACGUAGGGCGCAAGCGUUGUCCGGAUUUAUUGGGCGUAAAGAGCUCGUAGGCGGCCUGUCGCGUCGACCGUGAAAACCCGCAGCUCAACUGCGGGCUUGCGGUCGAUACGGGCAGGCUGGAGUUCGGUAGGGGAGACUGGAAUUCCUGGUGUAGCGGUGAAAUGCGUAGAGAUCCGGAGGAACACCGAAGGCGAAGGCAGUGUCCUGGGGAGUACCUGACGCUCAGGUGCGAAAGCCAGGGGAGCGAACGGG
rnacentral:rRNA from 1 species